AUUGAACGCUAGCUACAGGCUUAACACAUGCAAGUCGAGGGGUAACAUGAUAAAAGCUUGCUUUUAUUGAUGACGACCGGCGCACGGGUGCGUAACACGUAUUCAACUUGCCACACACUCAGGGAUAGCCUUUCGAAAGAGAGAUUAAUACCUGAUAGUAUAAUCAAUUCGCAUGUUUUGAUUAUUAAAGAUUUAUCGGUGUGUGAUAGGAAUGCGUUCCAUUAGAUUGUAGGUGAGGUAACGGCUCACCUAGUCCACGAUGGAUAGGGGUUCUGAGAGGAAGAUCCCCCACAUUGGAACUGAGACACGGUCCAAACUCCUACGGGAGGCAGCAGUGAGGAAUAUUGGUCAAUGGGCGGGAGCCUGAACCAGCCAAGUAGCGUGAAGGAUGACUGCCCUAUGGGUUGUAAACUUCUUUUAUAAGAGAAUAAAGUCAGUUACGUGUAACUGUUUGCAUGUAUCUUAUGAAUAAGGAUCGGCUAACUCCGUGCCAGCAGCCGCGGUAAUACGGAGGAUCCGAGCGUUAUCCGGAUUUAUUGGGUUUAAAGGGUGCGUAGGUGGAAGUAUAAGUCAGUUGUGAAAGUUUACGGCUCAACCGUGAAAUUGCAAUUGAAACUGU
rnacentral:rRNA from 1 species